rnacentral:lncRNA from 1 species
UCUGCAAAUGCAGGGGUUUUUUUGCACUUUUGCACGCGUGCUCUUGCAGGAGCACCUUUCAUUUGCACUCACACCUUUCUUUUGCACCCGCAGUUCCGCAAACUUCCCGCAGCCAUUUUCUUCUGCAAAUCCAUUUUCUCCUGCGCACGGGCUUUUGCACGAGCGUCCCUUUUUUGGCACACAAGCGUCUUUCCUUUGCCCACGCUCUCCUGCUCACCCACGGGUGCACCCCGGGCAGGACCGAGCCACCGCAGCCCCCUGGGACCCCCUCGGCCCAGAGGUGCCCCUCCGAGCGGGGCAGCGGUGCCAGCGCUGACUGUCCCCGUCCCCAUCCCUGUCCCCUCUCCUCCCCAGAUGGACACCUUCUUCGACGUCACGGGCUCGCGGGUGCUGGGGGGCAGCGGGCGGAUGGUCCCCUUCACCAGCACCAGCUCCUACGUGGAUGCUCUGAGGAACCAGGGCAUCUUCGGGAACAUGGGGAAAAUCAACACGGAGGAGAUCCAGCGGUCGGUGCAGAAGAUCAUAGAGCAGUACACGUCGUCCACCCUGAAAAACUCCAGGUGAGGUGGGGCGGGGGGCCCGGUACGGGACCCCCACCGGUGCUGGGGGGGGGGAGGGGGUCAGGAGAGGGGGCUGGGGGCCUGAUCCUGCCUUCUCUGCAGCGGUUAAUGCCCGAGCGGCACGUGGAACGGAGGACGAGCCCAGGAGGUGCUUCUCACGGCACGGACGGCAAACCCCAACCGGGACCACCGGGACCACCACCGUCCUCCCCCCUGCCCCGGGGAAGGGGGGGGCCACCAGCGUGUCGGGGUCCAGAGCCCCCUUCUGCUGUCCCCCGAGCCCCCCCGCACGCUCGCCUCCUCCCCGCAUGUACCCGUAGGCUUGGAGAGGGGGCAGCUGUAAAUACAGCCGGCUCUGAGCACCGACGCAGCUCGUCGCACGCGUGUUUCGGCGCCGACGUUGGGAGGGGGGGAACCGCAGAGGCCACGGCCGGGAUGGGGAACGGGAACAUCCCGUCCCCGGCUUCA